AGAGUUUGAUCAUGGCUCAGAGCGAACGCUGGCGGCAUGCUUAAUACAUGCAAGUCGCACGGCCGGGGGCAACUCCGGCAGUGGCGGACGGGUGAGUAACGCGUAGGAAUCUAUCCACGGGUGGGGGAUAACGCCGGGAAACUGGUGCUAAUACCGCAUGACACCUGAGGGUCAAAGGCGCAAGUCGCCUGUGGAGGAGC
rnacentral:rRNA from 1 species